CGGUGACUUUAGUAAGAGGUUCUAAAAAGAAAAAACCAAAAAAAUAAAUAAAAAAGAGAUAAAACCACAGAACCGUUGUCUAACAUAGGAUUUUUGGAACUGGUAGAAACUCCAAACGUGUCCCUUUGGUAUUGGCUGUCUUUUUUUUCUUUUUUCUUUUUUUUUUGUGUGGCCGUCUCUCUCUUUGUCGAUGGUUUUUUUCUUUCUGAGAAAUCUCGUCGUCGUUGUUGCUCGGCUGCUACCUCCUCCUCCGAAUCCGUCCAUGAAAUCACCCCGAAGGUUUGAAUUCAGUAUCUCGUUGAUCCAAUUAGUGUAUUGAGCCAUCAUUAAGCAGUUUCCUCCUCCUCGCCACGUUGAGAAGAAGGACAAGGGUUCGAUUGAGGAAGAGAGUGAAGAGAGUGAGGAUGAAUGGGUUGAGGUUGAUUCUGAUGAGGAUUUGGAAGAUAUGGAUGAGGAUGAUGAGGAGGAGGGUUCUGGUAAAGAUAUGAAUGAGGAUGAUGAUAUCGAGUUUGAGUUGGAUCAAACUUGCUGUUUGAUGUGUCAUAAGAAGCAUAAGACGAUAGAGAAGUGUAUGGUUCAUAUGCGUAAGUUUCAUGGAAGCCAAAAGCCACUGCAAAGUGCAUUACGGUGAUGGUGGUGAUGAAGAAGAUGCAGAGCUAGAAGAGUUCUAUGACUACAGCAGCAGGUCUCUCUCUCUAUUCAGUCCUCUUUCUUUUGACAACAGAGUUGACGCCAAAAGAACUCUCAGGGAUAUCAAACUCCUUUGCCAGGCGAGCAAUCAUGUAAGUUGUUCUCUCUCAUUAGUCUCUUAACAAACAGCUCCACAUUGAGCAAUCCUGCGAUAGCCAUUGCUGCAGCUCUCUCUUUAGCUGUUGAAGUUUCCAACUUUAGUGAUUUCGAUGGCUCAUCGGCAGACGCUGUUGCUUUCCUUGAGAAGAAGUUGGAUUAUUUGGUGUCAAGCCGGCCAACAGCUGUUAAUCUUGCAGAUGCUGCUUUGAAACUUAAACAAGAUAUAGCAAAUGUCUUGGCUACUUUCUACCAUUGAACCUAACUCCAUUUUCAAGCUGUUGAGAAUAUGCUCGAAGAUGAUGUCGCUUCAAACAAAGCAAUAGAGACCUUUGGUUCAAGCUUAAUGAGGCAGCAAGCCAAAAAUCCUGACAAGCUUUCUGUUCUGACCCACUGCAACACCGGCAGGUAUGAUUUUAGAUAGAGUCUGAAACUCACUGAAGUCGGCAAAUCAAGAUUACAACUAAUCGGUUUUUUCUCGUUUAUGCAUUUCUUUCAUGUUUGUUUAAAAUUUCAAAUUAUAAAUU